rnacentral:misc_RNA from 1 species
AAAGUCGUAACAAGGUUUCCGUAGGUGAACCUGCGGAAGGAUCAUUAAAAUCUGGAUAAGUGCGAUGCGCCGCGAUCGUAUGCGCAAGCAUGCGAUUGCGGUGUGGCGAUGCGAUCGCGUGCGGGAGAUGCGAUCGUGGCGAGGGGAGACGGGUUAGGAUGAGGGGUGAUGCGCGGGUGGUACGCAAGUAGUAUCCGCGCAUCUGGAUCCGCCGAGGGGGCAUGCGCAGCUAGUUGCACGUGCAGCCUUGCAGCUGCGCGCGCAACUAUAACUGCCGCCAAAACACCUGUCUGAUAAACACACACACACACACACACACACACUUAUCAAAUACAACUUUUAACAACGGAUCUCUAGGCUCUU